rnacentral:lncRNA from 1 species
AUAUAUAUAUAAAUCAGCCAAAUCAGCCUUUGCCUUCUUUCCCAGCAGCUCUGGCCUUUUUUACUGCCCAAUUUCAGCAGCUUGCAUUUAUAUAUGUUGACCCCCCAAGCGCCUCUUCUUGUAUGUGUUUAUCUCUAAUUAAUUUCCCCAGUUGCGGACUUUUUUUCUUUUUUUUUUUUCUUUUUCAAACUCCAAAAAGGGACCAAUUUUCUCUAGAUUAUUCUCCCGUCUUGCUUCCUUUAAUUUGGCUGCCACUGUGAUUGAAUUCCAAAGCAAAGCCCCAAGAAUUCUUCCCUUCCUUUCUUCCCACAGCCUGCAAUGCCUGACUUUCAACGCCAACUUUUAUUUUCCCCCAAGCAGCUGCUGCCUUUUUAAUUCCCGAGCAACUCCGUUAGCGGCCUCCCAACUCCGUUACUCAAUUUAUUUCUACCAGCAGCCGUCCAAAUUCUCCACUUUUCUCCCCCUAGCCGCCGUUUUUGUUGACUCCCGAAAGAAGACUAAAUUCUCUUUUAGGUUUUUCUCCCGUUUUCCUCUUUCUCCUUUUUCUAUCUAUCUUUUAUAAAUCCCAGGGCAGCCCAUUUUCUACAACUAUUGAGGCCCAAAUAUUCUUUUUCACUUUCCAUUUAUUUGAGGCCAAUUAGCUACAAUUUAUCUUUCAAGGCCUCAAUUCCUUAUAAUUAAUGCACUUAAGUCUUUUAAUUUCUAGCACGUAGAGUUUGAUCCCAAAAUUGCAUUUUUAUCCGAUAAUNNNNN